rnacentral:rRNA from 1 species
AUUGAACGCUGGCGGCAGGCCUAACACAUGCAAGUCGAACGAGUGGCGGACGGGUGAGUAAUGUCUGGGCAACUGCCCGAUGGCGGGGGAUAACUACUGGAAACGGUAGCUAAUACCGCAUACCAUCGGAUGUGCCCAUAUGGGAUUAGCUAGUAGGUGGGGUAACGGCUCACCUAGGCGACGAUCCCUAGCUGGUCUGAGCGGAUGACCAGCCACACUGGAACUGGGACACGGUCCAGACGCCUACGGGAGGCAGAAGUGGGGAAUAUUGCACAAUGGGCGCAAGCCGGAUGCAGCCAUGCCGGUGUUAUGAAGAAGGCCUUCGGGUUGUAAAGUAUUGUCGGCGAGGAGGCGUUACUCGCAGAAGAAGCACCGGCUAACUCCGCGCCAGCAGCCGCGGUAAUAC